rnacentral:lncRNA from 1 species
UGUGUGUCUGUGUUUAAAUGACACAUCUCUGUCUCACUGAGACUUUGGGUGUCUGGCUCAGUUGCUUUUUUUUUUUUUCGUUGCUCUGGCCUGUAAAUGUGUGGUCAGCCAGGCCAAAGCUGAGCUCAGGCCUUCAGGAAGGGGUGUGUGUUUCUGUAAGUGCAGCCUGAGGAGUGUGUGAGGCAAACAAUCUGGAGAUCAGACUUAACAGUUCAGACAGAGGAGCCCAGAGGUUCAACUUCACCAGUAGACAUGCAGGGCUCUGUUGUGGUGCGGCUGCUCCUGAGCUGUCAGGUGAUGUUUGCUGUCUUGAGGGAUCCCUCAGCAGCCGAGCAGCAGUGUGGGAAUUACAGCAACACAUGCUCACAGGUCGGAGCUGUAGAUACAGUGAAGACCGUUCAGCCUGAGUUCAGAGCUUCAUCCACUCUGCAGGCCGGUCACACCAAGCUGACACCGACACUGGAUCCAACAAGCAGCACGUCUGCUUUGAAGUCUCAACCUGCUCCACAUAUACACGCUGAAGACACCAAAGCUGAGCUGACUGGAAUGAAUUCAAAGAUUACGAGUGAGGAAGUAACUCAAGAUGCUGAAUCAGUAAAUCUGACUGGAAAUGAGCAGCUUUCUCCCCCACAUACUGACACUACACAGGACACAGACGAAGGUGUCAUAACCAAGACUCUAUCUGUCAGGGUGCUUCAGAGAGGACAAACUCAUCAACCUUUCAGUGUGGUCAAUGAGGACGCCGCAACAGAUGACAGAUCUGCCUUGGACAGCACUGAGGCGGCCAUUCCAAGCCCUUAUAAUCAACCCAAGAAGCCCACAGCUCCUGGUGUCUCAUCAGAAAAUCAUGUAGAAGCAACAAGUGCAGAACAAACUGUUUCUACAGAUCUCAUAGGUUCUACCACUUCUCCCAGUGUGUACACUCCAUCUGACAAAGGGAACCUGGAAACAUCAUCAUCAUCAUUAUCAUCAUCAUUAUCAUCAUCAUCAUCAUCAUCAUUAUCAUCAGUGAUUACAUCUUCAGCUUCAUUAUUUACUACUAGUCCCUCCUCCAACAUCUUUACAACAGCAGAAGUAGCAGGGGACGUGGCUGAGAGAAGUGAUGUUUCAGCAAAAAAAGAUGAAGAGAAAAUGGAAGAUAGGAUGGAAGCGGCUCCACCUAGAGCAACAACAACCCCGUUUCCAGGUCAAGAGCAGGCUGCUGGCUUGAAGACAGAAGAUGAGAUGGACCCAGAGUCAGAGGAGGCAGCACGGACACAUGCUGAGGCCGAAGAGGAAAGCUAUGAUGAAGACACAUUUCACAGUCAAACCAUUCUCCACUCACAGCCUGAACCUCCACAUCCAACUGUCAAAGCAGCCAGUCAGCGUCCUGCACAUGCAGCCAGACGUCAUGAGGCCGGACUGACACCUGGGAGCCCAGGUCAGAGGGGAUUGCCUGGUUUGCCAGGACUUCCAGGACCACCAGGACCUAAAGGAGACAAAGGAUAUCAAGGCGUUAUGGGGAGAACAGGGCAGACAGGAUACAGAGGCCCUGUUGGUCCUCCAGGGAUGCCUGCUAUUGUUGUAUUCAAAACCUCUGAAGAAGAGUGGGAGGCUUUCAAGGUAAUAUGACCUCUGUGUGCUCAGAUUAUAAUGAAA